rnacentral:rRNA from 1 species
UACGGAGGGUGCGAGCGUUAAUCGGAAUUACUGGGCGUAAAGCGCGCGUAGGCGGCUUGUUAAGCUGGAUGUGAAAUCCCCGGGCUCAACCUGGGAACUGCACCCAGAACUGGCAAGCUAGAGUAUAGUAGAGGUGAGUGGAAUUUCCUGUGUAGCGGUGAAAUGCGUAGAUAUAGGAAGGAACAUCAGUGGCGAAGGCGACUCACUGGACUAAUACUGACGCUGAGGUGCGAAAGCGUGGGGAUCAAACAGG